AAGUAUUUUUUUUUAAUUUUUAUUAUAGUUGAUUUACUAUGUAGUCUGCAAGUAUUUUGAUAAAAACCCAUUUGUUUAGAGAGGCUCUGCUUUCACCUCCUUUCCUCCUUCCCUCCAUCCUUCCUUUCUUCCUUCUUUUUUUCCUUCCUUCCUUCUUCCUCUCUCCCCCUCCCUCCCUCUUUCCUUCCUAUAAAGUAAAGCUUGUUACGAAGCCGCGCUCUCCGUUUCUAAAGGAACGAUGAGGUCAGCCCUCAGCCGAGUAAAUAGUAAACCUUGGGCCGGGAUGUCCGCUUUCCUGUGGCCACCGCCUUCUGGCCUGGUUCACGUGGCUUCUUUGGAGGCUGCCUCAGCCCCCAUCAUCAGCUAGCUCCCUUCCCAGCCAGGUCAGCGUGCUCCUGGCCAGCACUGCCAGGGACAGGAGACACUCUGUGCAGUUCUGCCUUUGGUUAAUAGUAGCGUAGUUCCUCUGAUGUUUCGUCUGGUUUUCUCUUUUUGGAGUGUAAAGGGAGGGCCAGGCUGGCUAAGUGGUAAAGUGAUGGGUUUCAAGCCCCACUCUCUCUCAAUAUUUCAGCUCCCUUCUCCCUGAUCAGUGCUUUUCAAACCUCCAGAUAUAACUGAACAACCCAGGCUCCUGUGAAAACACAGAUUCUGCCUCAGUGAGUCUGCAUGGGGCCCAAGAUUCUGCAUUUUUAACCAGCUCCCAGAGCAUGUUGAUGCUGCUCGUCUGAGGACCAUGCCUUGAGCCACAAGGUUCUGAUCAGUGGUUCUGAAGGUGUGGUUCCAGAACCGGCAGAAGCAUCAACUGGGAGCUUGUUAGAAAUGCACAUCUCAGACCCCACUGCAGAUCUGCUGAGGCAGAAACUCUGGGGCGGCCAGCAGUCUGUUUUAAUAAGCACUCUAGGGAACUCUGAUGUACAUGCUCACGGUGGAAAUCUCUGGUCUGUGGUUCUCAACUCUACCUGCAUGUCCAGGUCACCGGGAGAGCUCUGAAUACCCAAGAUUCUGACUUAAUUGGUUUGAAUGAGGGCCAGGCAUUUAAAACAAUUCUUUUUUUAAGCUUUUGAUUUUGAAGUAACUAUUUUAUUUUUUUAGGACCGCACCCACAGCUUGUGGAGGUUCCCAGGCUAGGGGUCUAAUUGGAGCUGCAGUUGCCAGCCUACACCACAGCUACAGCCACGCCAGAUCUAAGCCACCUCUGCGACCUACACCACAGCUCACGGCAACACUGGAUCCUUAACCCACGAAGCAAGGCCAGGGAUCGAACCUAGUGGGAUUUGUGAACCACUGAGCCACGACAGGAACUCCUGUAACCAUCUAAUAAGGAGUAGGUUCUGCCUUGUAAUGGUUUAUGUGCAUAAUGAUCAGAUGGCAGAAGAUGUCCAGAGUCAGCUCUGAUCCUUUUCCUACAUUUGUCCUGGGCCAUAUUCUCCUAAUGGGGGCCAGUGUCGCCCACACCGGGCCAGGCCCAUCAUUCUGAUUCUGCUAUCACUAGAUGGCUUUGCAGGUUGCUUUGGUUUCUGGGCCUCUGCUGUGAAAUGGGGUGGCUGUCCAUAGGGUGCCCUUCUUGGAGGGCUGGGAUGAGUGUGAAUAGUGCCAGUGAAAGUGACAGGGAAAAGCAACACUAAGAAACUAACAGAUACAAAGCAUGCAAGGGAAAAGUUUAUCCAGCAUCGCUUGCAGCUUUAGCAGAACUCCCUUCUGUGGUGACACUCACUGCUGCAAGCAUGCUGAUCCAGUGUCUACCGCAAGCCAUGGGGUAGACAGAUCUCUCUGGCUACAGACAUUGGUUCCAACAUAGGCUCAUGGCCUCAAGGGCAUUCCUGUGACUUUCAGUUAAGAUUAUGGAGAAUGACUAUCUUUCUAUUGGUUGCUAAGCUCCAGUGACUAUCUUGACUGCCUCUCUUUUGAACUCCUAGAUCCAGCCAUUCCUGCAGGCUAGAUCCACCCUUGGCUUCUCGAGUACAUGAGCCAAUAAAUCUGUAAGACUUUUGCAUUCUCAGUUGGGUAUCUGAGUUUUAACCCAAAGUGCCCUUAUCACUGCAGCUGUUAUGUUUAAGGGCCCUGAACCCGUGUUUGGAGGAUGUGGAAAUCCAGGAGGAAGUCUGGAGGGGAAUAAUAUAGACAUCUGCAGGGAUAGAAAUAGAUGAUUCUAGACUGGACACUCUCCAGAGAGCUGAGCAGGAGCAAACAAGAGUUCAAUUACAGUAAGUUCCUACUGUUUUGCUGUUGCUGAGGCAAUGAGUAAGGGCUGCUGAUUGGUUACUUUAUAUGUUGUCUUCUGGUCAGAACCAACACAAAGGCCAUGCCAUUCUGGCUGGUUGCCCUUUGUAUGGAUACAUACGCUUUCUAUAAUAGUCAUGCCUGUUUCCUAACGAUCCAUGGGGAUUUUAGAAACUGGCUAUUUGGCUGCAAUAGGCUUAACUUCUCUUAUCGAUUCUGCCAGUUGCUGUCAACGUAGGUUACCCCCAGAGAGCUGGCAGGAGCUCUUUCUUUAAUCACAGUAUUAGUUGGAAAGAGACAUCCCUGGGAGCAUUUAAGGCAAAGACAGUCUCACGCAGGUGUUCCUUGUUCUCCUGAGAGCUGGGCUGGCCAGUUCGCAGAGCCCAUGUUUAAUCAGGGUGAGUUGGCAACUUGACUGUGGUUGAGGAAGCUGCUUUCUCUUCUGCUUUUCCUAUUUCACGCAUCUGGUUGAGUGAGAUGAGAGCCCAUGUGAGGUUUGUUACCUCUCUCUCCUGCCUGGGUUGUGAGAUUUCUAAACAGGCUGAUACUGACAUCUUAUAGACACCAAGCUCAGCCCAUCUCCACGGUGUGGCUCUUGGGGUUCACUCACUCUGCUUUGCCUUAUAUCCACGCCCUCUGCUUUCUACAUUCUUGGCAGCUCCCAAGGCCUGCCUUCUGCAGGGAGCCUCCCAAGACCACUGCUCUUGUUGAUCCGCCUCCUUCUCCCCCCAGGUGUCUUGAUUCUUCAUGUCCACCGUCCACACUCAGUUGUCUGCCUGCCCCAUGCAGUCAUGGGAGGGCAAGGACCACUUUUUUGUCUCUUGUAUGCUCUUUGAUGUCAGGACAGGGGAGGCCCCACUAGGCCUUUCGUUGGCCAUCAUGUGGCCGCUUACACACGCCUCAAUUCCUGCGAGUAGCACGCAUUCCUUCAGUGCCCUUAGAUUGGAAAGGGCAGUGGAGAGAGAAGAUGAAUUAGACAUGAUGCCUGCCUUUAAAAAACUGGGGUAUCUUUGAAAAGAGCAGCUUGCUUUGGAGAGGUUCCUGCUGGUGGAGGCAGGGGUGGGCUAGGAGUCCAUGGUCCGGGAGGAGAGAAGGGGAUUUAAACAACUCUGGGGGAACAAUAAUGCCAGCCAGCAGCUCCCCCUGGCAGCAGGAUUUGAUGAAACUAUCUCUGUAUUUCUCUUUGGGGCCAGUAUCUACCCAAAUUUCAUUUUGACCCAGGGGCCUGCAUUCAAUGUCUUAGUGGAUGGUGCCACCAGCAGUCACCCAUGUCCAAAAGCCAAUAGUCAGUCUUAACCUGUUCUUGACUUUCAUAGCAUUACCCCACAAACUGUACCAUCUUGUAUGUCUGUAUCCACUAAGUCUCCUUUGCCUCUCUACCACCAACAUCCUGGUUAAGAUCUGGUCCCCUCGUUGGUCUCCUUGCCUCCCAUCAUGUCCCACCAAACUGACUCUCAUUUGGUUCACAUAAAGCCAACGUGCUUACAGUUACAUGGCCAAAAACCUCUUUGCCCAAGGAUCAAUUCACCCAAAGACCAGUUUACCUCAAAUUAAGUAUUCUUAAAAGUUCUCAGAUCUGUUUAACCUUCCUAUUAUUUCUUGCCUUGUUCUUCAUUUUAAAGAUU
rnacentral:lncRNA from 1 species